AGUACAUGCUCUUGGCCUCUUCUUCUGGUUAGAUGUAAUUAGCUAGAUCGUGGGCUUUGCCUAACCUUAGAAUGUGUUUUCUAGAAAUCUCCUUAAUAGGUCAGAGCAGACCAUUUCACUUAAAAAAAGGGGGGGGAAUCAAAUACCCUAUCAGGGAUCUUGCAUAUGACAAUCUUACCAUCUGAGGCAAAGCCCCUGAAUUUUGAUGCCUCCAAGCCAAUUCUCCGCUACUGAGGGCAGGCAAUAUUCAGGUUUUCUGAAUUUGGAAAAGGGGCCUCAGGAACACAGUCACUCUCUCUGGUGAAUUAUGAUGGCUUUCCUUUUUCCUUUGAGGCAGUGGAAGUGGCUGCUACUCCUCAGACUUUUUCCCAUUAUAUUGUAGGGGAGUUCUGGGAGGUCAGCCCCUUGAAAAGCUGCUGCUUUUUGUGGCUAACCCAUGGCUUUGAAAGUCUCCGCUCAACAGCAUUAUUUAUCCUGCUUCUGAAUUGGAAGCUGAGGGUAGCCGGCCUAUUAAGGGAGGCUCCUUUAACAAAUAAUUAUUUUAGGGAGAAGGUUGAGUGCAGAAGGGCCUUAUUAUGAAAAGCAAAAUCAGGCCUUUUUUUCUGCUGCUUUUUUUCCCGACGAUGUAACCUCACACAAACUAGCCAAGUAGGCAGAGACAUUCUAGAGGGGUCCUGCAGCCUUUUGUCAAGCUGCUGGUGGUCAGGGGAUCUUCAGACCCACAGCUGGGGAGAAACCUAGAGCUUGCUCUUCUCUGUGCAGCUGAUUGGCAGCUCCUUCAAUCAGUCACACAUGGGGCAGCCCCACAUCUCCUGCUCUUUGCAAACUGCACGUGCUGGGCUGUGGGAUUCUUUCGGAGGUAGGUGGUGGUCCCUCGGAGUCAGUCGUAACUCCUGGCAACUGCGUGGACAAGUCCCUACAGUUUACUUGGUUAACAGCCUUAACCACUACACCUGGUGGGAAUAAACUCACAUUGCAAACUUGCUGGGGAAUUCUGGGAGUUGAAGUCCACUCAUCUUAAAGUGGCCAAGUUUGGACAACACUGCGCUAGACCCUGCAAAGAGUUUAAAUGCAUGGAUUGGUUGAAAAGCUACUCCUUCAUCACCAUCAUAACAGCAAAUGGUCACUAAACGAGGCGGUCACUAAACAAGGACUACUUACACCAAACUGGCUCCUAUACUUGCUGCUUCCCCAGAAGUGCAAUGUCUGAAGAGUUGACAGGCAUUCUUAAAAUUGUUGAGAAGCUAUAGGUAAUUCAAAAGCUUGCAGAAUGAUUUAAGAGAACACAAAUAAAGACCAAUACAUUGACUAUAUAUGAAUGGCUAUGGUACCAAUACAUACCCCUUCAGUUACAUAUGACAUUCAUUCAAAUUUAAGUACUGUUUGUCUUCUCGCUUAUGACCCAGCUGUAAGAAACUACAUUCAGUAGAAGAGAAGACUAAUAAUGAAGCAUUGGCCUUCUAAUUCAAUGGAUGACUUCUAAAAGAAUGGGUAUGUACUUCACACACCUUUCAUUUAUAAACUUUCCUGCUUUAUCUCUACUAAUUUGCUUUUAUACAAUUGGGAGGCCAAAUCUCAUCUAUAUCUAUAAAAAAGUGGAUAAAAUUGAUCAUUUGCCCAAUUUCUGGUGUACCAUUUGGUUUCCUGCUUAAAAAAAACAGAACAAAGCUAAGCUACACAAACCUUUGCCUAAUCCAGAAAGUAAAGCUUAUGUCAGUUAACAAAAGUACACCUCUAAAUCAUUUAAAGCAGACAGGAAGUGUGAAUUAUUUACCAUUCUUAUUUGGUUAAGAAAUUAUUAUCUUUUUUGGCCUUUUAAUCUCUUUCUAUUUAAGCAAUUUUAAUCUAAUAUAUUUAAACAAAAAAAAAUUAGAUGCUUCACAACUAACAAUCCUAACAAUUUUAUUAUUACAGAAAUAAAAACAUUUAUUUUAAGUGGUAAUUCCAU